rnacentral:rRNA from 1 species
GAUGAACGCUAGCGGCAGGCCUAAUACAUGCAAGUCGAACGGUGUCUUCGGACAUAGUGGCGCACGGGUGCGUAACACGUAUGCAACCUACCUUACAUUGGGGGAUAGCCUUUCGAAAGGGAGAUUAAUACCGCAUAAGACAGUAGCUGGGCAUCCAGCAUCUGUUAAAGAUUUAUCGAUGUAAGCUGGGCAUGCGUCCAAUUAGCUAGUUGGUGAGGUAACGGCUCACCAAGGCAAUGAUUGGUAGGGGAACUGAGAGGUCAAUCCCCCACACUGGAACUGGGAUACGGGCCAGACUCCUACGGGAGGCAGCAGUAGGGAAUAUUGGGCAAUGGACGCAAGUCUGACCCAGCCAUGCCGCGUGCAGGAUGAAGGCGUUAUGCGUUGUAAACUGCUUUUAUACAGGAAGAAACGACUCUUGCGAGAGGCAUUGACGGUACUGUAUGAAUAAGCACCGGCUAACUCCGUGCCAGCCGCCGCCGUAAUAC